rnacentral:rRNA from 1 species
AAUCAACGCUGGCGGCGUGCCUAACACAUGCAAGUCGAACGCGAAAGUCCCGCAAGGGAUGAGUAGAGUGGCAAACGGGUGAGUAACACGUGGGUGACCUGCCUUCGAGCGGGGGAUAACGUCCCGAAAGGGACGCUAAUACCGCAUGACAUCCUGCCUUUGAAGAGGUGGAGAUCAAAGCUGGGGAUCGCAAGACCUAGCACUUGAAGAGGGGCCCGCGUCUGAUUAGCUAGUUGGUGGGGUAACGGCUCACCAAGGCAACGAUCAGUAUCCGGCCUGAGAGGGCGGACGGACACACUGGGACUGAGACACGGCCCAGACUCCUACGGGAGGCAGCAGUGGGAAUUGUUCGCAAUGGGCGCAAGCCUGACGACGCAACGCCGCGUGGAGGAUGAAGACC